rnacentral:rRNA from 1 species
CGAAGGGGGCUAGCGUUGCUCGGAAUUACUGGGCGUAAAGGGCGCGUAGGCGGGUCGUUUAGUUAGAGGUGAAAGCCCAGGGCUCAACCCUGGAAUUGCCUUUAAUACUGGCGGCCUUGAGUAUGGCAGAGGUGUGUGGAACUCCGAGUGUAGAGGUGAAAUUCGUAGAUAUUCGGAAGAACACCAGUGGCGAAGGCGACACACUGGGCCAUUACUGACGCUGAGGCGCGAAAGCGUGGGGAGCAAACAGGAUUAGAUACCCUGGUAGUCCACGCUGUAAACGAUGAGUGCUAGUUGUCGGUAUGCAUGCAUAUCGGUGACGCAGCUAACGCAUUAAGCACUCCGCCUGGGGAGUACGGUCGCAAGAUUA